rnacentral:tRNA from 1 species
CGCGGAGUGGAGCAGUUGGCAGCUCGCCAGGCUCAUAACCUUGAGGUAACCGGUUCGAUUCCGGUCGCCGCAA